UACGGAGGGUGCAAGCGUUAUCCGGAUUUAUUGGGCUUAAAGGGUCCGUAGGCGGCUCUGCAAGUCAGUGGUGAAAUCUCACAGCUUAACUGUGAAACUGCCAUUGAUACUGCAGGUCUUGAGUGUUAUUGAAGUAGCUGGAAUACGUAGUGUAGCGGUGAAAUGCAUAGAUAUUACGUAGAACACCAAUGGCGAAGGCACGUUACUAAGCAACAACUGACGCUGAUGGACGAAAGCGUGGGGAGCGAACAGG
rnacentral:rRNA from 1 species